GCGGAUGACCUGUGGCUGGGGGUGAAAGGCCAAUCAAACCGGGAGAUAGCUGGUUCUCCCCGAAAGCUAUUUAGGUAGCGCCUCGUGAAUUCAUCUCCGGGGGUAGAGCACUGUUUCGGCUAGGGGGUCAUCCCGACUUACCAACCCGAUGCAAACUGCGAAUACCGGAGAAUGUUAUCACGGGAGACACACGGCGGGUGCUAACGUCCGUCGUGAAGAGGGAAACAACCCAGACCGCCAGCUAAGGUCCCAAAGUCAUGGUU
rnacentral:rRNA from 2 species